GACGAACGCUGGCGGCGUGCUUAACACAUGCAAGUCGAGCGAUGAAGCACCUUCGGGUGUGGAUUAGCGGCGAACGGGUGAGGAACACGUGAGGAAUCUGCCUUUCACUUCGGGAUAACUCCGGGAAACCGGGGCUAAUACCGGAUAUUUUCAACUGGCGGCAUCGCCGGUUGAAGAAAGUUUUUCGGUGAAAGAUGACCUCGCGGCCUAUCAGCUUGUUGGUGAGGUAAUGGCUCACCAAGGCGACGACGGGUAGCCGGCCUGAGAGGGCGACCGGCCACACUGGGACUGAGACACGGCCCAGACUCCUACGGGAGGCAGCAGUGGGGAAUAUUGGGCAAUGGAGGAAACUCUGAUGCAGCAACACUGCGUGAAGGAUGAAGGUUUUCGGAUCGUAAACUUCUUUUAUCUGGGAAUAAUCUUGAAGGUACCAGAUGAAUAAGCACCGGCUAACUACGUGCCAGCCGCCGCGGUAA
rnacentral:rRNA from 1 species